rnacentral:lncRNA from 9 species
AUGCUGGAUGAGGAGGACACUGACAAAGACGGGAUGAGUUUGGAGGUCGACACUCCAGUGACGAACCAUCGGGGUGACGACGACGAUGACGAAGAAGAUCUCCCCGAGAUAGUGCUGGAUGACGUGCCUGCGGUGAGGGUGGCGGGACGGCCUCCAUUCGCUCCGCGGGUGGCCUUCAUGGUGAACAAAACACGUAUGUAUGCUGGAAGCACUCAUCUAGGGGGAGGGGCCCCUUAGAAGGUGAGGCAGGUGGCGCAGUCUUGCUGGGUUUAUUUAUUUGUUUUUAAUUGUUGUUUCCCCAGGGCAGGUUUUGUUUUUUUCCCCUUUCUUCCGGCCGUAGGGCAUGGUGACCCGGUUACACAUACAUGCACACGUUCUAUUUUCGCACAUUAUCAUGCUCCAUCAUAAGUGACUGGACAUAGCUCCCCAGGGCUACACAGCAGGCUCUCACUGCCCAUCCAUUCCAAAGGCAAGAGUUUGUAUCUAUUAACCCCAAGCUCCCCAGCCGCCCCAGUCCCUCCCCCUCCCCUCCCCUCUCCCCCUUGGCAACCACAAGUCUCUUCUCCCAAGUCCAUGAUUUUCUUUUCUGUGGAAAGGUUCAUCUGUGCCUCAUGUUAGACGCCAGAUACAUUCUUGCUGGUUUUGGUGUGGAGGGCCGGAGUGUUUGCAGUUUUGUCCUUGGAGUUAGGGUAGCAGGUUUGCUGAUGGAAAGUGACUUACAGGUAAAGUCACGGGGCCAGGUACUGUAGUCCCAGGAACAAGCCGUGUUACCAUUAGUCGAUGGAGGUUUGUGUGCAAGGGACUAGGGGGGUGUGUAUGGGAAACGGCUGGUAGGAUUCUGAGUGUGUCAAAAUCCUGAGCCUUCCUCUGACUCUCCUCCCAGAUGACCCCGAGUACCCGAGGCGGAAGGUGUCCGGCAUCAGUGCUCAGAAAGUUGUUCCACCUUCCACCAAGGUAAGGGCUUUUCACUUCUCUGAGGAAAAAGAAUAAGCAAAAAAAAAAAAUAUAUAUAUAUAUAUAUAUAUAUAUAUAUAUAUAUAUAUAUAUAUGGCUUCAUUCCCUAGCUUUUCAAUCAAAUUCAACUCUGAAAGUCCAAAUCCGUGGAUACUUAGGGUUUUCCUGGAUUGGGUGACUGUUGACUGAUUGUCUGUCCCAGUGAAUGACUGAUUUAAAAAAGGACCUUUAAAAGCGGACAGCAGUAGUUUUGUAUGUGUAAGUGUGGUCGGGAG